UAGACCUCAAAUCAGUCAGGACUACCCGCUGAACUUAAGCAUAUCAAUAAGCGGAGGAAAAGAAACUAACAAGGAUUCCCCUAGUAACGGCGAGUGAAGUGGGAAAAGCUCAACUUUGAAAUCUGGCACCUUCGGUGUCCGAGUUGUAGUCUCAAGAAGUGUUUUCUGUGCUGGUCCAUGUAUGAGUCUGUUGGAACACAGCGUCAUAGAGGGUGACAACCCCGUUCAUGACAUGGAUACCAGUGCUUUGUGAUACACUCUCGAAGAGUCGAGUUGUUUGGGAAUGCAGCUCAAAUUGGGUGGUAAAUUCCAUCUAAAGCUAAAUAUUGGCGAGAGACCGAUAGCAAACAAGUACCGUGAGGGAAAGAUGAAAAGCACUUUGGAAAGAGAGUUAACAGUACGUGAAAUUGUUGAAAGGGAAACGAUUGAAGUCAGACGUGCGUGAUGCGGUUCAGCACUGGUUCGCCAGUGUGUAUUCCGUAUCUUUGCAGGCCAACAUCAGUUUCGGUAGUCGGAUAAAGGUUAGUUGAAUGUGGCACCCUCGGGUGUGUUAUAGCUUCUAACUGAAUACGAUUUCUGGGACUGAGGAACGCAGCGCGCCGCAAGGCAAAGGUUCCGACCUUUUCGCGCUUAGGAUGUUGGUGAAAUGGCUUUAAACGACCCGUCUUGAAACACG
rnacentral:rRNA from 1 species